AGGUACGCUAGAUACGGUCGGACAUCGUGUUGAUAGUGCAAUGGCAUAAGCGUGCUUAACUGCGAGACUGACAAGUCGAGCAGGUACGAAAGUAGGACAUAGUGAUCCGGUGGUUCUGUAUGGAAGGGCCAUCGCUCAACGGAUAAAAGGUACUCUGGGGAUAACAGGCUGAUUCCUCCCAAGAGUUCAUAUCGACGGGGGAGUUUGGCACCUCGAUGUCGGCUCAUCACAUCCUGGGGCUGAAGUAGGUCCCAAGGGUAUGGCUGUUCGCCAUUUAAAGUGGUACGCGAGCUGGGUUUAGAACGUCGUGAGACAGUUCGGUCCCUAUCUGCCGUGGGCGUUGGAAAUUUGAAGGGGGCUGCUCCUAGUACGAGAGGACCGGAGUGGACGUAUCUCUGGUGUACCGGUUGUCACGCCAGUGGCAUUGCCGGGUAGCUAAAUACGGAAGAAAUAACCGCUGAAAGAAUCUAAGCGGGAAACUUGCCUUGAGAUGAGAUUUCCCAGAGCCUUGAGCUCUUUGAAGGGUCGUGCGAGACCAGGACGUUGAUAGGCUGGGUGUGUAAGUGCAGUAAUGCAUUAAUCUAACCAGUACUAAUUGCCCGUACGGCUUGUCCCU
rnacentral:rRNA from 1 species